GUGUGAGAGAAAGCAGGAGAGCGAAUGAGCGACUUUUCUUGAGCAGAAAGAACACUAUUGCCAGAAAACACAGCUACACCCAGGGCAGGGUCCUUGGGAGGUAGCAGCGGCGGAACCGGACUGGUGUGAGGGGAGCAACGUCGGGGUCCUGCAAUGUCAGCCGGUGGUCCCUCCAAGAGCCCACUCACAGCCCUUGACUCCCCCCGACUCUGUCUCACCACCCGGAUUCGGGAGGCUGCGGUGCACCUGUUACUGAGCCGUCCGGGCCUCUGAUCGACAGUCAGAAUCUCGCCAGAGACACAACGGAACGGGAAGCUGGGUGGAGCCGAAUGCAGAACUUGCAACUCGGGCGGCCCCCUGGAGGCCCCACGCACGACAGUGGCCCUGAGUCGAACCAAACGUCGUCUCCCUGAAGAGGGCGCGGCUGGCGCUGAGAGGGAGGGGACGGCCAGCACAGCCGGGGCACAGCCGGGGCACAGCCGGGGCACAGCCGGGGCACAGCCGCUUGGAGCGCGACCUGAAACGCUCUUAUUAAACCGAGUCCCACAGAAUAUCUGCGGGCUCCGUCUGCUUUCAGGAGGCCUUCCAAGUGGUGGGGUGGGAGCCGGCCCAGUUCCGGGGUACCCCGCCACAGCCGAGCCCCGUGGCCUGCAGAGGCUUCCUGGGGCGCGACAGGCUGCGGAGCGAGGCGGUGCCAUGAGGCACGCACCGAGCAUUGCCAAGGGUGCUGGCUGCCACUUCAUGGCUCUUUUUCCCCAAGGCAAGGAAGGUUCCCAAGCUCAUCUGUCUAUUGUCAUAUAUUUUCUUUCUCUUCAUCCGUCCUCCCCCCGUGUCUAACGCACUGCCGCCCAGGGGAUUGUGCCCGAUUUCAAAUACACACAUCCCCGGGGAAAUAAAAGAUACUCAGACCUCUUGACCGCUUGAAUUAAGAGUGAACAUCUCAC